AGUCAUGACUGUUUCCAAUGAGUGAGAAGCUCCAGUCCCAUUGGCUUUGUUGAUAUAGAAGCAAUGUUUAUCUAGCCGGCCCGGCCGCCCCCUUCUUUAGGCCCGCUACCCUUGUAUAAAAGCGCAGCCGCAGACCGCCCCUACACCGAGGGAAGAAGUGUUACAAAUGGCGGACUCCAGUGCAAAGCGUACGACGGAAGACCUUCCACCGGCUGGUCCCCCACCUAAAAAAUAACGGUCUUUUGCUAGAACAGCAGCAGACAAAGACCGGAGUAGAACUCGAAUCAACAUUGGGCUGGCUUUUCCACGAUGGAGAGCCCUACGCUCAACGAAGGGGCUCGAACACGACUCUGAGCUGGCGUUGCUUCUCCUGGAUGCAUUUGAAAAGGGUCCUGCAGGCCAGGAUUGUGUCGAGGAGGCUCUGUUCAGGAGCAGGGAUGCCCCUGACAAGGGAACAGCGUCCAGACGACCCCCGGAAGCUUGGACCAUUGGCACCCAUUCCCCCCCCACCCACUGCAGAACUUGCUGAGAAACAACUCAGACGAGGUCUUGAUCCAGCACAGCCAGAAUGACAACAAGAGCUGUUGUGAAAGCACAUGGCCUCCUUUUGUAAGAACAUUCAUCUGCAGUUUCUGGCUACAAGUACAGCUGCUGUAAUAUAGGAGGACCGCAUGCUGUGGUAAAACCAGCAAUUUGCUCCCCGCAUCAAAACAAAAGUGCCUUUUGCUACGACCCUCGAACCAAUCACUUCAAACACACCUUUUUUUGAUGACUUUAUGGACUUUGUCAAACAAAUAUCCAUUUUGCACCAAUGGUGCUGUUUUAUCACAGGCUGGUAAGUUCAAUAA